rnacentral:rRNA from 1 species
GAGUUUGAUCUUGGCUCAGAACGAACGCUGGCGGCGUGGAUAAGACAUGCAAGUCGAACGGGAGAAUUGCUAGCUUGCUAAUAAUUCUCUAGUGGCGCACGGGUGAGUAACACGUGAGUAACCUGCCCCCGAGAGCGGGAUAGCCCUGGGAAACUGGGAUUAAUACCGCAUAGUAUCGAAAGAUUAAAGCAGCAAUGCGCUUGGGGAUGGGCUCGCGGCCUAUUAGUUAGUUGGUGAGGUAACGGCUCACCAAGGCGAUGACGGGUAGCCGGUCUGAGAGGAUGUCCGGCCACACUGGAACUGAGACACGGUCCAGACACCUACGGGUGGCAGCAGUCGAGAAUCAUUCACAAUGGGGGAAACCCUGAUGGUGCGACGCCGCGUGGGGGAAUGAAGGUCUUCGGAUUGUAAACCCCUGUCAUGUGGGAGCAAAUUAAAAAGAUAGUACCACAAGAGGAAGAGACGGCUAACUCUGUGCCAGCCGCCGCCGU